rnacentral:lncRNA from 1 species
ACGAUGAGAUGCGCUUCUAUCCCUGACGAGGCCCUCUUGACAAAUUGAGGAUAGGGUCGCAUCUUGGGCAUGACAUCCUUCUUCUCCUUCUUCUUCUCCUUCUUCUUCUCCUCUUCCUUCUCCUUCUCCUCCUCCUUCUCGUCCUUCGUCUUUUACUUCUCCUUCUUCUUCUCUUCUUGCUUCUUCUAUUUCUCUUCUUCUCUACGUAGCUUAGACUCAUCCAACAAAGACUAAAUUGGCUAAUUAUCCUACAAAAUGACAUAAUUAGCUUAGUUAGGUG